UCAAUAUUGGUUAGGGUUGCAUGCUGGGA
rnacentral:piRNA from 1 species